CAAAUUUUAAAUCUACCUGGUUUCCAGGUCGAGUUGUAAUUUGAAGAAGUGUUUUUUACUUUCCGGGUUGGGUUAAAUCCUUUGGGAUAAGGUAUCAUGGAGGGUGAGAAUCCCGUGUAUACCAACCGCAGGAUYGUUUAAUAUACACUUUCUAAGAGUCGAGUUGUUUGGGAAUGCAGCUCUAAAUGGGUGGUAAAUUUCACCUAAUGCUAAAUAUAAGCGAGAGACCGAUAGCGAACAAGUACCGUGAGGGAAAGAUGAAAAGAACUUUGAAAAGAGAGUUAAAUAGUACGUGAAAUUGUUGAAAGGGAAACGGUUGAAGUCAGUCAUGCCGGCGGGAAUCAACUUAGGGGAAACUCUGAGUGCACUUCUUCGCUUGGCAGGUUAGCGUCGAUUUUGGAUGUCAUAAAAUGACUGGGGGAAGGUAGCUCUUUCGGGAGUGUUAAGCCCUURGUAGAUGUGAUGUCCGGGAUCGAGGAUUGCAACGGAUACCUUUUGGGCUARCCGCCUAGUCUCUAAUACGAAGUUGGGUUAUGGACAGCACGCUGACUGUGAUCUGAUUUUCGGUUAAAAGAU
rnacentral:rRNA from 1 species